GCUCAGUGAUCCUCCCGUUUCGACUUCCCAAAGUGCUGGGAUUACAGGUGUGAGCCACUUCACCAGGCCCAUUUUCUCCUAAAACUUCAAGGACAAAUCAUUAAUAAUGUAACAGGAAUCUUUAGGAGAAAAAACAAUUUGGUUUACUGAUAACAAAAGAUAAUUGGAAACAUGAGAGUAUUUGAGAUUGGCCAAGCAGAACUAUGAAGUCCAUCAAUGUGAGACUUCAAGGGGAAGUAUGAGACUUCUCUGAGGAAGCAGACCCUUCACAAGCAAAAUCAGCCAGCACUUUGAUCACGGACUUCCCAGCCUCUAGGACUGUGAGCAAUAAAUGUUUGAUGUUUAU
rnacentral:lncRNA from 1 species